GAGAGUAAAACAGUACGUGAAAUUGUUGAAAGGGAAACGCUUGAAGUCAGUCGUGCCGGCGUUGGAUUCAGCUUGCUUCGCGGAGCAGGCGUAUUUCCAUGCAUGGCAGGUCAGCGUCAGUUUUGCGCGGCGUGAAAAGGCUCGGGUAAGGUAGCUCUCUUCGGGGAGUGUUAUAGACCUGGGCAGAUGCGCUGCGCGGGACUGAGGAUUGCAGCGGACACCUCUUCGGGGGCGCGGCGACCGAACCCUGCUCGGCCACCCUCGUUCGAUAGCGUGCUAGCGGACGCGGGAGCGGCAGUGCACCGGAACAGGCAAGCCAGCGGUUCGCUAAGGAUGCUGACGUAAUGGCUUUAAACGA
rnacentral:rRNA from 1 species